rnacentral:ncRNA from 2 species
AUUCAUAGUUUGAGAGUCGGUAAUUCGAUCACACGUCGAAUUUUAAUUGGGAAGACCGGUGAAAAUCCGGCGCGGUCCCGCCACUGUAAGUGAGGAGAGCUUUUCGUUAAUCAUCCACUGUCGUGAAGAUGGGAAGGAUGAAAAGCUUGCAGAUUCACUAGCCAGGAUACCAGCCGCUCUAUCACAUCAAACC